UACGAAGGGGGCUAGCGUUGUUCGGAAUUACUGGGCGUAAAGCGCGUGUAGGCGGUUGCCCAAGUCGGGUGUGAAAGCCUUGAGCUCAACUCAAGAAAUGCACUCGGUACUGGGUGACUAGAGGACCGGAGAGGAUAGUGGAAUUCCCAGUGUAGUGGUGAAAUACGUAGAGAUUGGGAAGAACACCGGUGGCGAAGGCGGCAUCCUGGACCAACACUGACGCUGAUGAGCGAAAGCCAGGGGAGCAAACGGG
rnacentral:rRNA from 1 species